rnacentral:rRNA from 1 species
AACGAACGCUGGCGGCAGGCUUAACACAUGCAAGUCGAACGAGAUCUUCGGAUCUAGUGGCAGACGGGUGAGGAACACGUGGGAACAUCCCUUUCAGUUCGGAAUAACGUUGGGAAACUAACGCUAAUACCGGAUACGUCCUUCGGGAGAAAGAUUUAUCGCUGAAAGAUUGGCCCGCGUCUGAUUAGCUAGUUGGUGAGGUAAUGGCUCACCAAGGCUACGAUCAGUAGCUGAUCUGAGAGGAUGAUCAGCCACAUGUGGACUGAGACACGGCCCAAACUCCUACGGGAGGCAGCAGUGGGAAAUAUUGGACAAUGGGCGCAAGCCUGAUCCAGCCAUGCCGCGUGAGUGAUGAAGGCCUUCGGGUUGUAAAGCUCUUUUAUCCGGGAAGAUAAUGACUGUACCGGAAGAAUAAGCCCCGGCAAACUUCGUGCCAGCAGCCGCCGUAA